CCGGACCGGCGCACGGGUGAGUAACGCGUAUGCAACUUACCUAUCAGAGGGGGAUAACCCGGCGAAAGUCGGACUAAUACCGCAUGAAGCAGGGGCCCCGCAUGGGGAUAUUUGCUAAAGAUUCAUCGCUGAUAGAUAGGCAUGCGUUCCAUUAGGCAGUUGGCGGGGUAACGGCCCACCAAACCGACGAUGGAUAGGGGUUCUGAGAGGAAGGUCCCCCACAUUGGACUGAGACACGGCCAA
rnacentral:rRNA from 1 species